rnacentral:tRNA from 1 species
AAGANAGGAAUCGAACCUAUAACUAGAAGAUCAAA